rnacentral:rRNA from 1 species
UACGUAGGGGGCUAGCGUUGUCCGGAAUCAUUGGGCGUAAAGAGCGUGUAGGCGGCCCGGUAAGUCCGCUGUGAAAGUCGGGGGCUCAACCCUCGAAAGCCGGUGGAUACUGUCGGGCUAGAGUGCGGAAGAGGCGAGUGGAAUUCCUGGUGUAGCGGUGAAAUGCGCAGAUAUCAUGAGGAACACCGAUUGCGAAGGCAGCUCGCUGGGACGUAACUGACGCUGAGACGCGAAAGCGUGGGGAGCAAACAGG